CAGCCGCCGCGGUAAUACCUGCAGCUCAAGUGGUGGCCGCUAUUAUUGGGCCUAAAACGUCCGUAGCCUGUUUAGUAAAUGCUUGGGUAAAUUGUGUAGCUUAACUAUACGAAUACCGGGUAGACUGCUAAACUUGGGACCGGGAGAGGCUAGAGGUACUCCUGGGGUAGAGGUGAAAUUCUGUAAUCCUAGGGGGACCACCAGUGGCGAAGGCGUCUAGCUAGAACGGGUCUGACGGUGAGGGACGAAGCCCUGGGGCGCGAACCGGAUUAGAUACCCGGGUAGUCCACGGUGUAAACGCUGCUUGCUUGAUGUUAGAUGGGCUCCGAGCCCAACUAGUGUCGGAGAGAAAUUGUUAAACAAGCUGCCUGGGAAGUCCGGUCGCAAGACUGAAACUUAAAGGAAUUGGCGGGGGAGCACAGCAACCAGUGGAGCGUGCGGGUUAAUUGGAUUCAACGCCGGAAAACUCACCGGAGGCGAACGGUUAUAUGAAGGCCAGGUUGAUGACCUUGCUUGAUUUUCCGAGAAGUGGUGCAUGGCCGUCGUCAGUUCGUACCGUGAGGCGUUCUGUUAAGUCAGACAACGAACGAGACCCUCAUCUUUAGUUGCUACUAGUAAGUCCGCUUACUAGGCACACUAGAGAAACCGCUGGCGAUAAGUCAGAGGAAGGUGAGGGCAACGGUAGGUCAGUAUGCCCUGAAUCCUCCGGGCUACACGCGCGCUACAAAGGCUAGGACAAUGGGUUCCUACACCGAAAGGUGACGGUAAUCCCGAAAACCUAGUCGUAGUUCGGAUUGAGGAUUGAAACUCAUCCUCAUGAAGCUGGAAUCCGUAGUAAUCGCGGGUCAACAUCCCGCGGUGAAUAUGCCCCUGCUCCUGGCACACACCGCCCGUCAAACCAUGCGAGUUGGGUCUGAGUGAGGAUGUAGCAUUUUGCUGCGUUCAAACUUAGGCUUAGUAAGCGGGGUUAAGUCGUAACAAGGUAGCCGUA
rnacentral:rRNA from 1 species